rnacentral:tRNA from 1 species
AGCUAAAAAACUCAUAACAAGUAUAUAUUUUGAAAGUAUAAAGUAAAAGUUAAACUCUUUUAUUAGCUU